AUCAAAUAACAUCUACAUUCUACAAUGAACACUUUAACGAAAAGACUUUGGAAAUGUAUUUCUUAUUGCUUUCCACUUCGUAAAAAGAAACCUAAUGACAAUGCUGUUGAAGAAAUUGAGAUCAAACAGGAAUCACUAGAAAAACAACCUAUUGAAGCUAAUAGUGAAAGAGAAACGAGUUAUGAAGUAAAUAGUGAAAGAGAAACAACUAUUGAAGCUAAUAGUGAAAGAGAAA